CCUACGGGUGGCAGCAGUGGGGAAUAUUGCACAAUGGGCGAAAGCCUGACGCAGCAACGCCGCGUGGGGGAAGAAGGCUUUCGGGUUGUAAAAUUCUUUUCUCAGGGACGAAACAAGUGACGAUACCUGAGGAAUAAGCCGCGGCUAACUACGUGCCAGCAGCCGCGGGAAUACGUAGGUGGCAAGCGUUAUCCGGAUUUACGGGGUGUAAAGGACGUGUAGGCGGGACUGUAAGUCAGAUGUGAAAACCACGGGCUCAACCUGUGGCCUGCAUUUGAAACUGUAGUACUUGAGUACUGGAGAGGAAGACGGAAUUCCUAGUGUAGCGGUGAAAUGCGUAGAUAUUAGGAGGAACACCAGUGGCGAAGGCGGGUUGCUGGACAGUAACUGACGCUGAGGCGCGAAAGCGUGGGGAGCAAACAGGAUUAGAUACCCGGGUAGUC
rnacentral:rRNA from 1 species